AUUGAACGCUGGCGGCAUGCCUUACACAUGCGAGUCGAACGGUAACAGGUCUUCGGAUGCUGACGAGUGGCGAACGGGUGAGUAAUACAUCGGAACGUGCCCAGACGUGGGGGAUAACGAGGCGAAAGCUUUGCUAAUACCGCAUACGAUCUAAGGAUGAAAGCAGGGGACCGCAAGGCCUUGCGCGUUUGGAGCGGCCGAUGGCAGAUUAGGGAGUUGGUGGGAUAAAAGCUUACCAAGCCGACGAUCUGUAGCUGGUCUGAGAGGACGACCAGCCACACUGGGACUGAGACACGGCCCAGACUCCUACGGGAGGCAGCAGUGGGGAAUUUUGGACAAUGGGCGAAAGCCUGAUCCAGCAAUGCCGCGUGCAGGAUGAAGGCCUUCGGGUUGUAAACUGCUUUUGUACGGAACGAAAAGGCUCUGGCUAAUACCUGGGGCACAUGACGGUACCGUAAGAAUAAGCACCGGCUAACUACGUG
rnacentral:rRNA from 1 species